AGAGUUUGAUCAUGGCUCAGAACGAACGCUGGCGGCAGGCCUAACACAUGCAAGUCGAGCGCCCGCAAGGGAGCGGCAGACGGGUGAGUAACGCGUGGGAACCUACCUAGUGGUGCGGAACAACCAAGGGAAACUUUGGCUAAUGCCGCAUGAGCCCCAAGGGGGAAAGAUUUAUCGCCAUUAGAUGGGCCCGCGUCGGAUUAGCUAGUUGGUGAGGUAAAGGCUCACCAAGGCGACGAUCCGUAGCUGGUCUGAGAGGAUGAUCAGCCACACUGGGACUGAGACACGGCCCAGACUCCUACGGGAGGCAGCAGUGGGGAAUAUUGGACAAUGGGCGCAAGCCUGAUCCAGCCAUGCCGCGUGAGUGAUGAAGGCCUUAGGGUUGUAAAACUCUUUCGACGGGGAAGAUAAUGACGGUACCCGUAGAAGAAGCCCCGGCUAACUUCGUGCCAGCAGCCGCGGUAAUAC
rnacentral:rRNA from 1 species